GAUGAACGCUGGCGGCGUGCCUAAUACAUGCAAGUCGAGCGAACGGACGAGAAGCUUGUUUCUCUGAUGUUAGCGGCGGACGGGUGAGUAACACGUGGAUCACCUACCUAUAAGACUGGUAUAACUUCGGGAAACCGGCGCUAAUACCGGAUAAUAUUUUGAACCGUAUGGUUCAAAAGUAAAAGACGGUCUUGCUGUCACUUAUAGAUGGAUCCGCGCUGCAUUAGCUAGUUGUUAAGGUAACGGCUUACCAAGGCAACGAUGCAUAGCCGACCUACGAGGGUGGUCGGCCGCACUAGAACUGGAACACGGUCCAGACGCCUACGAGAGGGAGCAGUAGGGAAUCUUCGGCAAUGGGCGAAAGCCUGACGGAGCAACGCCGCGUGAGUGAUGAAGGUCUUCGGAUCGUAAAACUCUGUUAUUAGGGAAAAACAUAUGUGUAAGUAAAUGUACACAUCGUGACGGUACCUAAUCAGAAAGCCACGGCUAACUACGUG
rnacentral:rRNA from 1 species